UACGUAGGGUGCAAGCGUUGUCCGGAUUUAUUGGGCGUAAAGAGCUCGUAGGCGGUCUGUCGCGUCGGAUGUGAAAACCCAGGGCUCAACCCUGGGCCUGCAUUCGAUACGGGUAGACUAGAGUGUGGCAGGGGAGACUGGAAUUCCUGGUGUAGCGGUGAAAUGCGCAGAUAUCAGGAGGAACACCGGUGGCGAAGGCGGGUCUCUGGGCCAAUACUGACGCUGAGGAGCGAAAGCGUGGGGAGCGAACAGG
rnacentral:rRNA from 1 species